GAGCACAUGAUGAUAUUAAAAUACAAUUAACUCUGAGAUUUAUGUCUUUGAAGUGUCAAAAUCGAGCUUUUUAGGGCUGAUGCUCG